GGUUUUUUGAGUAUAAUUUAAGAUUGGGCCUGCCCCCUGAUUAUUUAAAGGGCCGCAGUAUUUUGACUGUGCUAAGGUAGCAUAAUAAAUAGUUUCUUAAUUAGAAGCUGGAAUGAAAGGUCUGAUGAGAAAAUAACUGUCUCUAUAAAAAUUAUUUUGAAUUUUAUUUUUAAGUAAGAAAGUUUAAAUUUAAUUAAAAGACGAGAAGACCCUAUAGAGUUUAAUAAUUAAAUUUUUAAUUUUAUUUUAGGUUUUUAUAUUAAGAAGAAAUUAAUUAUUUGAUUGGGGUGAUUGAAAAAUUAAAUUAACUUUUUUUAAAGAAUAACAUAAAUGUAUGGAUAAAUGAUCCAUUAAAGUGAUUAUAAGAAUAAAUUACCUUAGGGAUAACAGCGUAAUUUUUUUUAGAGUUCUUAUCGAAAAAAAAGAUUGCGACCUCGAUGUUGGAUUAAAAUUAAAUUUUGGCGUAGAAGUUAAAAAUUUUAGUCUGUUCGACUAUUAAAAUUU
rnacentral:rRNA from 1 species